rnacentral:rRNA from 1 species
CCUACGGGAGGCAGCAGUGAGGAAUAUUGGUCAAUGGGCGCAAGCCUGAACCAGCCAAGUCGCGUGAGGGAUGACGGCCCUAUGGAUUGUAAACCUCUUUUGUCGGGGAGCAAGGCCCGCCACGUGUGGCGGGAAGGAGAGUACCCGAAGAAAAAGCAUCGGCUAACUCCGUGCCAGCAGCCGCGGUAAUACGGAGGAUGCGAGCGUUAUCCGGAUUUAUUGGGUUUAAAGGGUGCGUAGGCGGAAGGUUAAGUCAGCGGUAAAAUGUCGGGGCUCAACACCGGCCUGCCGUUGAAACUGGUCUUCUUGAGUGAGCGAGAAGUAUGCGGAAUGCGUGGUGUAGCGGUGAAAUGCAUAGAUAUCACGCAGAACUCCGAUUGCGAAGGCAGCAUACCGGCGCUCAACUGACGCUGAGGCACGAAAGCGUGGGGAUCGAACAGGAUUAGAUACCCCGGUAGUC